rnacentral:rRNA from 2 species
AACGGAUAUCUCGGCUCUCGCCACGAUGAAGAAUGUAGCGAAAUG